rnacentral:misc_RNA from 1 species
AACGCACAUUGCGCAGUAUGGUAUUCCGUACUGCACGGAUGGAAGAGCGUGUUCCCUUUGGGAUCGCAUUGCUUUCUUGAAAUGAAUCUAUUACUUCAAUAUACCUCAUUUCACCUCUUUCAUCCGAGAUUACCCGCUGAACUUAA